UUGCAGCGCGCGCUGCGUCUGUGGGGCGGAAGCAAGCAGGAGAGAGGGCGGCAGAAGCAGGUUAGACGGGAGGAGCGCUAGCGGGAGCACUUAUGGCGGCGGCAUCAUGGUACUGCUCAACCUGCCAUCUCCAUGGGUUGUUGUGCGCCAAAGGAACAACCUCUGUCUCCCACCAGCCACCUCUCCAUGCUCUGUGUAUCGCAAGCAAGCACGCACCUGGAUGGCCGUGGACAGGUUGACCUCCUCGUCCUGCUGCUUGCGCAGGUUGGUGCACACCUCCAUGUAGCUGCUGCGGUCCGGUAGCUUGUCCACCGCCCCCUUGGCGCGUUCCACCUUCUCGCCUAGCCGCUCCUUCUCCUCCUCCAGCGACUUGAUCUUGUUCUUCAGUGCCUGCGUGUCUCUGUGGGAGGGCACGCACAGUGCAUCGCGGUAUGAAGUCAGUCGCCUGGUGUGCACGGCACGCACACAACACGCGGCCCCCGAGCCUCUCUGGCACACCGGCCCUGAGCCUUGCAGCCCAA
rnacentral:lncRNA from 1 species